GACACUUUGGCCGAGUGGUUAAGGCGUGUGACUUGAAUAUGAAUACUUCUGUAUUCGAGUCGAUAUCACAUACGUUCGCGUUCGCAGGUUCGAAUCCUGCAGGUGUCG
rfam:Aspergillus ruber CBS 135680 unplaced genomic scaffold scaffold00002, whole genome shotgun sequence.